GAGUUUGAUCAUGGCUCAGAGCGAACGCUGGCGGCAGGCCUAACACAUGCAAGUCGAACGGAUCCUUCGGGAUUAGUGGCGGACGGGUGAGUAACACGUGGGAACGUGCCCUUUGGUUCGGAACAACUCAGGGAAACUUGAGCUAAUACCGGAUGUGCCCUUCGGGGAAAGAUUUAUCGCCAUUGGAGCGGCCCGCGUCUGAUUAGCUAGUUGGUGAGGUAAAGGCUCACCAAGGCGACGACCAGUAGCUGGUCUGGGAGGAUGAUCAGCCACAUUGGGACUGAGACACGGCCCAAACUCCUACGGGAGGCAGCAGUGGGGAAUCUUGCGCAAUGGGCGAAAGCCUGACGCAGCCAUGCCGCGUGAAUGAUGAAGGUCUUAGGAUUGUAAAAAUUCUUUCACCGGGGACGAUAAUGACGGUACCCGGAGAAGAAGACCCCGGCUAACUUCGUGCCAGCCGCCGCAGU
rnacentral:rRNA from 2 species